GUUAACUUGUUCUGUCCUCCCUAUCCUUUCAGGUUCUAUUCAGUACUUGCUUUCUGCAAUAUCAGCGGAACCAUCAUCAACAUUCCAAUCCCACCGUUUGCCCCUGAUCGCCUGCUCUAUGCCACUCACCUGCCCACCUGCACCUCCUUGGUCUCCCUGCUCAGCCAGGCCUGGCAUACCCUCCCCGAAGAACCCAGCUCAUCCAGGAAACCAACCCAACGGAUCCAUUUCCUGUCCCUCGGAAGCAGCUUCUUACCUCACCAUACAAAUAAACCAUUUUUUACUUACCUUCCAACUCCUGGUGGUGAUUCUUCAUGUCGUGGGUUAAGAAAUUGCCUUCAAACAUGACAGACUGCAGAGUCUUGACCUGAAGAGGUAGCUCUCCUGUGUUGUGCCAUGCUCUUGUGUAAUUGUUGUUUAGUUCCUCCAAUGUAAAGAUCUGGACAGUCCUCACUAUACUGGACUGCAUAAAUGACGCCACUGAGCUUCUGUUUGGGUGUUUUGUCUUCUGGAUGGACCAGGUUCUGUCUGAGGGUGUUGUUGGGUUUAAGUUUUCCGGGAUGUUGUGUUUGGAGAAGAUUCUUCUAAGUUUCUCUGAGACUCCCGCCACGUAUGUGAUGAUGGUGCCUUUGUGUAAAGGGUGUUGUUGUUAGGUUGGUAGCAGAGCUCUCAUGUUUAGUGUUAAGUUCAGUGAGAUCAUGGAAUGGGAUCAAGAAUUUUCUACUGACAGGAAAAAGAUCUCAGCUAACAUAGCUGUAGAUCACACUGGUUAAGUCUCUUUGGUUACAUUUAUUUUACUGCCUCUUACUAGAGCUUUGUUUAGUGAGCACAACAUUAGUUUGGUUGUACACCUGUGCAAUGAUAAUAAAUGAUCUUGAAUACUGUUAAAUGUACUAACCCUAACCCUUUUAAGUCUAAAAUAACAAAACGACCAAUACAGACAGAAGGACAACCUCUUUUAUAAUGCGUUGCAUCACCACCUGGUAUCAGAACAGGACUCAGUAUUGGAAGAUAAUCAAAAAUCCAACAACUUGGACUCAGAUCAGGGGCAAAAAUGUGGUUGUAACAUCUCUAGGUGUAAGUCAGCUUUAAACAGAAUUAUUUAUGAACUGACAUAAACUUCAAUUAAUGACAACAAAUGAUAUAUUUUUCCUACUUUAUUUUGUUAUUUGAAACCAAGGGUCUCAUUAUUUGAAACUAGUCGGAUCGUGAAUCUGUUUAAAAGCUUUGCUCUAUAGGUGCCCCUUUUUUUUUACUUUGAGCGCCCGCCCCUUCAAAGGCCUCUGCACGGCCC
rnacentral:lncRNA from 1 species